rnacentral:rRNA from 1 species
CAAAAACAUCGCCUCUUGCAAAUCAAAGCAUAAGAGGUCCCGCCUGCCCUGUGACUAUGGGUUUAACGGCCGCGGUAUUUUGACCGUGCGAAGGUAGCGCAAUCACUUGUCUUUUAAAUGAAGACCUGUAUGAAUGGCAUCACGAGGGCUUAGCUGUCUCCUCUCCCAAGUCAAUGAAAUUGAUCUGUCCGUGCAGAAGCGGGCAUAAGUACAUAAGACGAGAAGACCCUAUGGAGCUUUAGACACCAGGCAGAUCACGUCAAGUAACCUUAAAUUAAUAAGUGGAAACGCAGUGACCCCUAGCCCAUAUGUCUUUGGUUGGGGCGACCGCGGGGGAAAAUAAAGCCCCCAUGUGGACUGGGGGCACUGCCCCCACAGCCGAGAGCUACAGCUCUAAGCACCAGAAUUUCUGACCAAAAAUGAUCCGGCGAACGCCGAUCAACGGACCGAGUUACCCUAGGGAUAACAGCGCAAUCCUCUCCCAGAGUCCCUAUCGACGAGGGGGUUUACGACCUCGAUGUUGGAUCAGGACAUCCUAAUGGUGCAGCCGCUAUUAAGGGUUCGUUUGUUCAACGAUUAAAGUCCUACGUGAUCUGAGUUCAGACCGGA